CUUUCUCCUCUCUUCAUCGACAACGACAAGCUCGACACUCCUCCACUGACGGCGACCUCUCCUCCAUUGGUGCACGUUGAAUUUUCAUAUCCUUGUAGGGAUUUCCGUACACCAUAUUCAUCCCUAUGAAAAUCUACAAGUGAGAGAGACCGCCUUUUCUUUUGCAUCUUUGACAUAAAUCUAGGCUAACGAUCUUCUCGUUGAUUGAAAUGGAUCUUUUACUUUGUCAUUCAUGAAGAAUAAUCAAAAGGCUUUGGGGUCAUUUCAAGUUUGCUUUGGGUUGGUUGGUGGACAAGGUAUUUGAAGAAGACACUUGGAUAUUAUAGGGCUUUUCUGGGCUAUCUAGCACUACUAGCCUUUGUGAAGAUACGACAUGGCCGAUGGAAGAGUGGCUGUUGUUGAUAGGAGGGCGGAGCUUGCCAUUGGUGGAAUACGAGAGUUAUCAUUGAUGAAGAGAGGAGAUGGAUGGGGUUCACGUGGUGCUGAAGAGCUGAGAUGAGUAAAGGCUAGGGUUUCUUAUGUUUUAUUAUUUUAUUCAUAUUUUUUUUAAUCCUAUAUCGUUCGUAUAUGUGGCAUGCUGACAUGCUAUGGAUUAUAUGACAUAGGCUUAUGUUGAUGUAGCUUUUGUGACCAUUCCAAGUUUUAGUUAUGUGGGUGUUUGGGAAUUCUUUGCCG
rnacentral:lncRNA from 1 species